AGCAGCCGCGGUAAUUCCAGCUCCAAUAGCGUAUAUUAAAGUUGUUGCAGUUAAAAAGCUCGUAGUUGAAUUUCGGGAUUGACGUGAUGGUCGUGCCUUACGGGGUAUGAACUGUUGCAGUCAAUUUCUCACCUUCUGGAGAAAUAUGAUGUCCUUAAUUGGGUGUCAUAUGGAACCAGAACUUUUACCUUGAAAAAAUUAGAGUGUUUAAAGCAGGCUUAUUGCUCGAAUACAUUAGCAUGGAAUAAUAAAAUAGGACGGCAUGGUUCUAUUUUGUUGGUUUCUAGGAUCACCGUAAUGAUUAAUAGGGAUAGUUGGGGGCAUUAGUAUUCAAUUGUCAGAGGUGAAAUUCUUGGAUUUAUUGAAGACUAACUACUGCGAAAGCAUUUGCCAAGGAUGUUUUCAUUAAUCAAGAACGAAAGUUAGGGGAUCGAAGACGAUCAGAUACCGUCGUAGUCUUAACCAUAAACUAUGCCGACUAGGAAUCAGACGAUGUUAAUUUUUU
rnacentral:misc_RNA from 1 species